rnacentral:lncRNA from 1 species
CGCCCUGAAGAUCAUAAAAAAACAUUUUAUUAAAAUUAAGUAUGUCAAUAAAGGCUUUAAUUUUGUAAAUAUUGCCGGUAUAUUUAACGACCAUUCUGUUAAAGAACAAAUUCCUGGAUAUUUUGACAAUACUGAGCUACCUCUUAUUUGUUAUAUAUACAAGAAAUCUACCCGGAAAUUUGUGUUUAAUUAUAGUCAAUUGUGUAAAGAUGUUAAUAUCAGUGAAAAUACACCUACUUCAUGUAAUUGCAGUAAUUCCGAAUAUAUUUAUGGACCCAUUUCCCAUGUUAUAACAGGAGAUCUUAACAUCGUUCAAGACCGAGUAAAAUCAUUCCUCAGUAAAGGACCUAAAUAUCGUCCCCCGUCAAUUAUUAAUUGGAAUGAGUUUCGUAAUAUCAUCCACGACUCACUCCAUACUUACUGUAUGAAAUGGAUAAAACGGGAAAAAGCUGACAAAAAAUCUUUGGACUCUUUUUUUAAUUCAGUAACGAAGAUAGUUGAUAUACGUAUUCAACAUUUUAAAGAACAUUUUACUAUAAACAAUAACCACAAUAAAACCUAUUUCUCGUAUCAAACAUAAACUAAAAGAACUAGCCAAGGAAAUUUGUUUUUGUCCCGGCCGAUAAAGCUGCUAAUAAUAUUAUUAUUGUUUGACGUAAAUUUUACAUUGAGGUUCUGAAAAAGGAAAUCACCAAUUCACCAAACAUUCCAACUGACUCCAUUUUCAGAAAACGAAAUCUGUAACAAACAUAAACUUUUAGCCACCGCUUUACAAGCAGAGCCAAAUACAAUGAAAGUCCCAACUAUGUAUUGGCUUCCGAAGCUACACAAAACCCCUUACAAAUAUAGAUUUAUUUCGUCUUCAAGCCAUUGUUCAACUACUAAAUUGUCUAUUCUUCUUACCAGCACACUUGGUACAAUUAAAAACCUGAUAAUAAAUUGUUCAAAUAAGGCCUUCGAAAAUAGUGGAAUAAAUUACUUUUGGAGUGUCAAGAACUCGUUGGAAGUACUUGAUAAAUUGCAUGCUUAUAUUGGUGAUUUUUGAAUCUGUUCAAAGUUUUGAUUUUUCUACCCUGUAUACCACAUUGCCUCACAUUCUCAUUAAGAAAAAAUUCACACACCUAAUUAAAUGGGCAUUCAAAAAAUCAGAAUGUGAAUAUAUAUGUUCAAACUCUUUUAGGUCAUUUUUUAGUAGCAAUAAACAAAAAAACUAUGUUAAUUGGACAUGCUUUGAUACUAUAUAUGCCCUUGAAUUUUUACUAGAUAACAUUUUUGUUCGCUUUGGGGAUUCCGUAUAUCGUCAGAUUAUCGGAAUUCCAAUGGGGACUAACUGUGCACCACUUAUUGCGGACCUGUUUUUGUAUUGUUAUGAGUUACAAUUUAUGACAAAAAUAAGCAAAGACCCAUCGAAACAACAUCUGAUAAACAAAUUUAAUAAUACUUUUAGAUAUUUGGAUGAUAUUUUGGCUCUCAAAUAAUGACGACUUCAGUAUGUAUAUUAAUGAAAUUUAUCCUGUUGAACUUACUUUAAAUAAAGCUAAUACUAACAAUGACCACUGCCCUUUUCUCGAUCUUGAUAUCUAUAUCACUAACUGGAAAGCUGAAUACUAAAAUUUAUGAUAAAAGGGAUGAUUUUUCAUUUCCUAUCGUUAAUUAUCCGUUUUUAGAUGGUGACGUUCCCUUGUCACCAUCUUACGGUGUUUAUAUAUCUCAACUUGUACGAUUCGCUCGUGUAUGUAACAAUGUUUUAGAUUUUAACGAGAGAAAUUUAUGUAUUACUGAAAAAUUAUUACACCAGGGUUUUCGAUAUCACAAACUAGUCAAAACAUUUACUAAAUUUUAUCAUCGGUAUAAAAGACAUCAUUCGUAAAUAUAGCUCAACAUGCAGACUUCUAAUACGUUCAGGUAUUUCACAUCCAAUUUUUUAUGGAAAUAUUCUUUAUAAAGCACAAAGGUGUCAGUAUUCACCUCAGAAACUUACAAAACCUUUGAAUAGACUUAUUAAGAAGGGAUAUAAUUACGAUACUGUUGUCAAGUCAUUAAAGAUUGCAUAUUUUGGCGUUAAUAUUGAGUUCACUGAUAAGGUCUUUGCAUCGAACUAAACACAUUUAUUCUAAAAACAGUUGUUGGCAUGACACGGGUUAUGUUCUUCUCAUAUAUGUUAUGAUGGUAUGAUACUAAACCCCUAACGGGAAGGAUUGUGCCUGAUGUUCAUAUGAUGAAAUCAUAAUCUUUCAGUCAGUUUAAUUGAAGUCUGGAGCUGGCAUGUCAGUUAACUGCUAGUAGUCUGUUGUUAUUUAUGUAUUAUUGUCAUUUUGUUUAUUUUCUUUGGUUACAUCUUCUGACAUCAGACUCGGACUUCUCUUGAACUGAAUUUUAAUGUGCGUAUUGUUAUGCGUUUUACUUUUCUACAUUGGUUAGAGGUAUAGGGGGAGGGUUGAGAUCUCACAAACAUGUUUAACCCCGCCGCAUUUUUGCGCCUGUCCCAAGUCAGGAGCCUCUGGCCUUUGUUAGUCUUGUAUUAUUUUAAUUUUAGUUUCUUGUGUACAAUUUGGAAAUUAGUAUGGCGUUCAUUAUCACUGGACUAGUAUAUAUUUGUUCAGGGGCCAGCUGAAGGACGCCUCCGGGUGCGGGAAUUUCUCGCUACAUUGAAGACCUGUUGGUGACCCUCUGCUGUUGUUUUUUAUUUGGUCGGGUUGUUGUCUCUUUGACACAUUCCCCAUUUCCAUUCUCAAUUUUA